rnacentral:rRNA from 1 species
UACGUAGGGGCCGAGCGUUGUCCGGAGUUAUUGGGCGUAAAGCGCGCGCAGGCGGCCUCGCGCGCCCGACGUGAAAGCCCCCGGCUUAACCGGGGAGGGUCGUUGGGGACGGCGGGGCUUGAGGGCGGGAGAGGGUGGUGGAAUUCCCGGUGUAGUGGUGAAAUGCGUAGAGAUCGGGAGGAACACCCGUGGCGAAGGCGGUUGCCUGGAGCUUUGCUGACGCUGAGGCGCGAAAGCGUGGGGAGCGAUCCGG